rnacentral:rRNA from 1 species
UAUUGGUCAAUGGACGAGAGUCUGAACUAGCCAAGUAGCGUGAAGGAUGACUGCCCUAUGGGUUGUAAACUUCUUUUAUAUGGGAAUAAAACAGGGUAUGCAUACCCUCUUGUAUGUACCAUAUGAAUAAGGAUCGGCUAACUCCGUGCCAGCAGCCGCGGUAAUACGGAGGAUCCGAGCGUUAUCCGGAUUUAUUGGGUUUAAAGGGAGCGUAGGUGGAUUGUUAAGUCAGUUGUGAAAGUUUGCGGCUCAACCGUAAAAUUGCAGUUGAAACUGGCAGUCUUGAGUACAGUAGAGGUGGGCGGAAUUCGUGGUGUAGCGGUGAAAUGCUUAGAUAUCACGAAGAACUCCGAUUGCGAAGGCAGCUCACUGGACUGCAACUGACACUGAUGCUCGAAAGUGUGGGUAUCAAACAGGA